UGGGAAGGAGAGAGGCGGGUGGGGUGGUGCCCAUCAGCUGCCUUCAUUAGUUUUUAAUUAAUUCUUCAAAAUCUCCAUAUUGCACCUUAUUUUGCAUAACUAAUCUCAUCUGCUGAUCGCACUCCCGCCAGCCGUCACUCUCUUCAUAAAGCUAAAUUUUGUUCCCAGUCUAAUUAGCAUCCUAAUUGGGCUUAUCUUGAAGUGUGUUUAAUAUUUAUGACCUUGUCCUUGAAAAUAAACAGAAUUUGCUGGGUUAUAUAAUCGUGAAUGAGGGUGUGAUCCAUCAGAGUCCUUUCACAUCACAGUUUAUUAAUGUGUCUUUUAUAAUUAUACUGUAUCCCAAGAAACAUAUUCAGGGGUAGCUUUGCUGGCCAUAUAGAAAAAGACAACAUCCAAAAUCCACAAAACAGUGAGAUCAUUAUUCAGUCAGGAAAAUGCACAAAAUAUAUGAUGCAAGCUUUGCUUGAGUAUCACACCAUUUCCCCCUCCAGACCUCUAGACAGUCACAGGAUGCCAUCAUGGCUACCAUUUUGAAUGACUGGGUUUAACAUUGGCUGCACCUGCACAGUAGAAAUAAUACAGUUUGAUGCCAUUUUAAGUGGUGUAGCUCCAUCCUAUGGAAUCCUGGGAUUUGUAGCAUUACAAGGUCUUUAGCCUUCUCUGCCAAAUAAUGCUGGUGCCUCACAAAACUGUAAAUGCUGCAACUGCUUGUCUCAAUAUUUCCCAUGACUAGGAGAGCACUUGCAGACAUCAUUUCCCAGUAUCCUGAUCUGCAUUGCCUUCAGAUGAAGUGUGCCAGGCUGAAAUGGCAAGCAACCUCUGGAAUUAUGAUGGGGACCCUGUUCCUGUUUGUCACAAUGAAGAUCACUCAUGAGAGGGCUGGAAAUGGUAGCCAUCUUUCUCUUGAACAGCAAUUGCAUCAGCUGCUGCCUGCCAGACAAUGGAGCACAUAUGUUGAACAGUGGAUACAUCUCUGGGUAAAAAACAGAAUUUGGAAAAGCUACAUGCAACGCUCCCAGGAAGAGGUGCCAUCCUUAUGAGCUAAAUGGUCCAAAAAGUAACAUCCCCAGGCUUUCCGCAGACACAGAGUUCUGCAAAACAAAAGUGGCAACAGCAGUAUAUAUGUAUGUAUGCAUGUAUGUAUGUAAUGGAUUUAUUUUCAGUGUAACGAAACUAUGUUGGGAGGAAUUAGAAGGAUUGGAUGUCACCUGGGCAGGUGAAGGCUGCCUCAUUUUGAGCCAGCUCUAUUAUUCUGGUUCACAAAAGUGUGACAGCCCCUCCUAAGCAAAAUGGGGGUACCCUGAAUCAUUGCACCUGCAGAAGCUGUAUCUCAUCAAGCCCUGUACGGUAGCAUCGAACGAUAUAGUCCUUAGCACAUCCGUUGGCCAUCUGUAUGCAGAUUAACAAGGCCUCCGAUCAGAUUAGCCAUGGCAAAUAUCCUGUAAUUUUAAAAUGGUUGAAUGUACUUGCAGGGGGAAACAGGAGCAUCCCUUCUUAUUAACAUCAGAAAUUGGGUUCAUUAAAAGAAUGAUUUUGCAUUUCACUCCUGGCCAGGAGGAAAUAAUAAUAACAACUGCUACUACUGCUACUGCUACUUAUAAGCGAUGACGAUGACGAUGACGAUGACGAUAACGACGAUGAUUCUAUUUAUUUGUAUCCCACUUUCCCCCCAAAACUGGGACCCAGAGCCGCUUACAAUUUAAAAGAACAGAACGUACAAAACAUACAAACGU